GACGAACGCUGGCGGCGUGCUUAACACAUGCAAGUCGAACGGAAAGGCCCUGCUUUUGUGGGGUGCUCGAGUGGCGAACGGGUGAGUAACACGUGAGUAACCUGCCCUUGACUUUGGGAUAACUUCAGGAAACUGGGGCUAAUACCGGAUAGGAGCUCCUGCUGCAUGGUGGGGGUUGGAAAGUUUCGGCGGUUGGGGAUGAACUCGCGGCUUAUCAGCUUGUUGGUGGGGUAGUGGCUUACCAAGGCUUUGACGGGUAGCCGGCCUGAGAGGGUGACCGGCCAACAUGGGAAUGGGAUACGGGCCAGACUCCUACGGGAGGGAGGAGUGGGGAAUAUUGCACAAUGGGCGGAAGCCUGAUGCAGCAACGCCGCGUGCGGGAUGACGGCCUUCGGGUUGUAAACCGCUUUCGCCUGUGACGAAGCGUGAGUGACGGUAAUGGGUAAAGAAGCACCGGCUAACUACGUG
rnacentral:rRNA from 1 species